UCCGGGGGGAGCAAGCGUUGUUCGGAUUUACUGGGCGUAAAGGGCGCGUAGGCGGCCACCGCAAGUCGGUUGUGAAAUCUCUGGGCUUAACCCAGAAAGGUCAACCGAUACUGCGGGGCUAGAGUGCAGAAGGGGCAACUGGAAUUCUCGGUGUAGCGGUGAAAUGCGUAGAUAUCGAGAGGAACACCUGCGGCGAAGGCGGGUUGCUGGGCUGACACUGACGCUGAAGCGCGAAAGCUAGGGGAGCGAACGGG
rnacentral:rRNA from 1 species